UACGUAGGGGGCAAGCGUUGUCCGGAUUUACUGGGCGUAAAGGGUAUGCAGGCGGGUUUUUAAGUAGAAAGUGAAAGGUUGGAGCUCAACUCCGACACUGCGUUCUAUACUGGGAGCCUUGAGUGCUGGAGAGGAAGAGGGAACUGCACGUGUAGCGGUGAUAUGCGUUGAGAUGUGCAGGAACACCAAUGGCGAAAGCACUCUUCUGGACGGUUACUGACGCUGAGAUACGAAAGCCAAGGGAGCGAACAGG
rnacentral:rRNA from 1 species